UAGGGAAUAUUGGUCAAUGGACGCAAGUCUGACCCAGCCACGCCGCGUGCAGGAAGACGGCCCUCUGGGUUGUAAACUGCUUUUGACUGGGAAGAAAAGACUCCUUGCGAGGAGAUGUGACGGUACCAGCAGAAUAAGCCACGGCUAACUACGUGCCAGCAGCCGCGGUAAUACGUAGGUGGCGAGCGUUAUCCGGAUUUAUUGGGUUUAAAGGGUGCGUAGGCGGCUGAUUAAGUCAGCGGUGAAAGGUAGCAGCUUAACUGUUUUACAUGCCGUUGAUACUGGUUAGCUUGAGUUAACAGAAGGCAGAUAGAAUUUCUGGUGUAGCGGUGAUAUGCUUAGAUACCAGGAGGAAUACCGAUUGCGAAGGCAGUCUGCUGCAGUUACACUGACGCUGAGGCACGAAAGUGCGGGGAUCAAACAGGAUUAGAUACCCUGGUAGUCCGCACAGUAAACGAUGAUUACUAGUUGUUGGCUUAAGUCAGUGACCAAGGGAAACCGAUAAGUAAUCCACCUGGGGAGUACGCCGGCAACGGUG
rnacentral:rRNA from 1 species